GACGAACGCUGGCGGCGUGCUUAACACAUGCAAGUCGAGCGGUAAGGCCCUUUCGGGGUACACGAGCGGCGAACGGGUGAGUAACACGUGGGUGACCUGCCCUUAGCUCUGGGAUAAGCCUGGGAAACUGGGUCUAAUACCGGAUAUGACUCCAUGACGCAUGUUGUGGGGUGGAAAGCCUUGUGCGGCUAGGGAUGGGCCCGCGGCCUAUCAGCUUGUUGGUGGGGUGAUGGCCUACCAAGGCGACGACGGGUAGCCGGCCUGAGAGGGCGACCGGCCACACUGGGACUGAGACACGGCCCAGACUCCUACGGGAGGCAGCAGUGGGGAAUCUUGCGCAAUGGGCGAAAGCCUGACGCAGCGACGCCGCGUGAGGGAUGACGGCCU
rnacentral:rRNA from 1 species